GCGUCGGUAGUGCAACGGUUCAGCACGCGCCCCCGGAUAGGGCGAAAUGAGAGUUCAAACCCCAGUUGACACU